GAAAAAUUAAACUCUCUAUAUAUCUUCACAUUCACUUCUCACAAUUUAGAUUCAGUUCUCAAAUUCAAUUUCAAGUUACUGAGACAGACAUCCUGGUAGUUGGAGGAUGAAAGAAGAGCAAUCGAGCACAGAUCGAUAGAUAGCGUUCAUUGGUGCACAGGAUUCCUCUUGGGCCAAUCAGCACCUACUUUUUGGAGCAUAGUACGUACCCGUCAUGAAACAAGGAAGAAGUGCUUGCCUUGCUGACUGGCUUGACCACCAUGGAUUCGGCUGGGACAAAUACACCAGUGGAAAGCGCUGGCGUGUUCAAGGGCCUUCCAACCACUUCACACCAGUCAAAGAGAUAGAAGUUACAUUUUAUCUCUUACCCAAGAUUGUUGAGCACACUCCCAAAGGCAGUGAAGAAGUUUUCCAUCUGCAAGCUGGUUUGGGACGCAGGUCCACGCUGAUACCAGGGAACUACACCCAUGAUGAGGUGAGGCAACAUUUUUUUUGUCAUAUAAUAUUUUAAUAUAGUCCACUAUCAAAACCAAUGUUCUUUUGUCAAUAUGAUGGUAUGAUUUAUAUUACUCUUGAAGGUAUGUUCAACUCUCAAAGAUCUUUGUCCAAAACUUGAAAGUGUGUCUGGGGGCUGGCUGAUUUACAAAGGAGCAGGUACCUAGAACUUACCCAUGGAAAAUCUAAUCUUGGUAUAAAAUCAUUUGAAUCAAUAUCUUGAGUGAUGAGCUUUCUGUAGAUAUAUUUAUCAUGUAUGU
ensembl:lncRNA